rnacentral:lncRNA from 1 species
GUUUUGCAAACUCUGCACUUGGAAAGCGGGUAACUGAUUUUUAACACAGAAUCAAAACCUAACGCCAAAACAGCACAAAUGAAGUGGAAUUUUAAUCACGAAGAAGAAAUGUGAGGAUAUGGGGUCCACAACGGCUGCUGCGAGCUUCGAAGUCAAACCAUCCUGUGUGCUCACAGCCACUUUCUCAGAAGGCAGGUGGCAAAAAGAACCCCCAGAUUUGGAAAUACAGAAUUGAGAGAUUAUGCAAAAGGCACCCAAGACAACCUUCCACCUGAUGCGGGACCCUCAACUCUGAUGGAACAAAGAGGCACCUAAUCCUCAUUUUCCUAAGAACCUACAUUCAGCAUAGAAAUCUGCCCAACAAAAUCAGAAAAUCGAAGCCCAAAUGCAAAAGGCAGAACUAAAUAGACUUCUACCGUCACACUCUUCAUCCCCCAGAAGGCCUCCUCAGCAGUCAGGGCCCACGAUGCUAAUCUCCCAGAGGUGCCCAGAAAUGUUCCCGUUUGAGGAGACAUCUCUCCAGACUCUUGUCGCUUGGCCCAUCUCGGAGGAAAGAAGGAGAGCGGACUUCGGCUCGGUCGUUAACAUUUGGGCAGCACCUGGGCUUACUCGCUGCUCUACAGCUAACCCGUCAGAGCUGCUGGAGCGCCACCGCUUAGCUCCGGCGAGACGACCGCACAGGCCGAGAAUGCCCCUGUCCCCACAGGAGGGCACGACCGGGGCCAGCGCGGGGUCAGUGGCCCCCACUGAUGAAACAGGAAAACCGCGAGUCCCCACGAACCUGUCAGCCCUCAGGUCUGCGCCAAGUCCUGCCUCUCGGGUAAGUGUCCUAACCUCUCUGGUUGAAGACUGGGCCGCAACCUGAUGGGUCAAAAGCAGACGCCCGAAGAUAAAUAACCAAGGCCGUUCGCUGUAGCAUGUGCUGCUUUAUUACGGGGAAAAUUGGGGAACGACCCUCCAACAAUAAGGGAUGCGCUAAAUAAGCUGCGGUACGUUCCUAGCGCAGAUCGCUUGGUAGCCACGACAGGUCAGGGCGGAGGAACAAUUUAUUGACGCAUAAAGAUGUGUACAAUGUAUUAAAUUUCAAAAGCAAAUUAUAAGAACAUGACCUCUCUUUUAAAAACAUACAUGCAUUAAAAAUAUAUAUAAAUGGGACGCCUGGGG